AGCUGCGUGGUGACCACAAAGCGAACUAUUCUUUCGCCUUUUACUAAAGAAUACCGUGUGGUCGCCACAAUGUGCAGCAUACCAUAAUUUUUAAAGGGUCCUUCUCCUCUGUGAGAGGGU
rfam:Hordeum vulgare subsp. vulgare, WGS project CAJW01000000 data, contig: morex_contig_161993